GAUGAAGAACGUAGCGAAAUGCGAUAAGUAAUGUGAAUUGCAGAAUUCAGUGAAUCAUCGAAUCUUUGAACGCACAUUGCGCCCAUUAGUAUUCUAGUCGGCAUGCCUGUUCGAGCGUCAUUAAGUCCACUUAAGCCCUGCUUAGUGUUGGGAGACUGCUCCAGCGGUGCUACCCUGUAGCUACCCUGCAGCUCCUCAAAGACAGCGGCGGUGUUGUGGUAUCCUCUGAGCUUAGUAACUUGUUCUAGCUUUCGAGUACACCACUUCCCCUGCCGUAAAACACUUAAUUUUUAAUGGUUGACCUCGGAUCAGGUAGGAAUACCCGCUGAACUUAAGCAUAUCAAUAAGCGGAGGA
rnacentral:misc_RNA from 1 species